rfam:Solenopsis invicta Si_gnG.contig11298, whole genome shotgun sequence.
UUAAUUGCUCCUUUUGGAGCAAUAAAUAUUGCAAUAUAAAAAAUUU